rnacentral:tRNA from 1 species
UCAGUUCCUAUAGUUAAAGUCCUAUAACGAUGGCUUUUCAGGUCAUUGAUCCUGGAGAGAGACCAGGUGGGAACU